AUUGAACGCUGGCGGCAGGCCUAACACAUGCAAGUCGAACGGUAACAGGAAACAGCUUGCUGUUUCGCUGACGAGUGGCGGACGGGUGAGUAAUGUCUGGGAAACUGCCUGAUGGAGGGGGAUAACUACUGGAAACGGUAGCUAAUACCGCAUAACGUCGCAAGACCAAAGAGGGGGACCUUCGGGCCUCUUGCCAUCGGAUGUGCCCAGAUGGGAUUAGCUAGUAGGUGGGGUAACGGCUCACCUAGGCGACGAUCCCUAGCUGGUCUGAGAGGAUGACCAGCCACACUGGAACUGAGACACGGUCCAGACUCCUACGGGAGGCAGCAGUGGGGAAUAUUGCACAAUGGGCGCAAGCCUGAUGCAGCCAUGCCGCGUGUAUGAAGAAAGCCUUCGGGUUGUAAAGUACUUUCAGCGGGGAGGAAGGGAGUAAAGUUAAUACCUUUACCCAUUGACGUUACCCGCAGAAGAAGCACCGGCUAACUCCGUG
rnacentral:rRNA from 1 species